CAAGGUUGACCUCGGAUCAGGUAGGAAUACCCGCUGAACUUAAGCAUAUCAAUAAGCGGAGGAAAAGAAACCAACAGGGAUUGCCCUAGUAACGGCGAGUGAAGCGGCAACAGCUCAAAUUUGAAAUCUGGCCCUAGGCCCGAGUUGUAAUUUGCAGAGGAUGCUUUUGGUGACGCGCCUACCGAGUCCCCUGGAAUGGGGCGCCACAGAGGGUGAGAGCCCCGUAUGGUUUGACGCUGAGCCUCUGUAAAGCUCCUUCGACGAGUCGAGUAGUUUGGGAAUGCUGCUCUAAAUGGGAGGUAAAUUUCUUCUAAAGCUAAAUACCGGCCAGAGACCGAUAGCGCACAAGUAGAGUGAUCGAAAGAUGAAAAGCACUUUGAAAAGAGGGUUAAAUAGCACGUGAAAUUGUUGAAAGGGAAGCGCUUGUGACCAGACUUGCGCCGGGCGGAUCAUCCAGCGUUCUCGCUGGUGCACUCCGUCCGGCUCAGGCCAGCAUCGGUUUUCGCCGGGGGACAAAAGCUUCGGGAACGUAGCUCCCUUCGGGGAGUGUUAUAGCCCGUUGCAUAAUACCCCGGCGGGGACCGAGGACCGCGCUUCGGCAAGGAUGCUGGCGUAAUGGUCAUCAGCGACCCGUCUUGAAACACGGACCGAGGAGUCAAGCAUUAGUGCGAGUGUUUGGGUGUAAAACCCGCACGCGUAAUGAAAGUGAACGUAGGUGAGAGCUUCGGCGCAUCAUCGACCGAUCCUGAUGUUUUCGGAUGGAUUUGAGUAGGAGCAUUAACGCUUGGACCCGAAAGAUGGUGAACUAUACUUGAAUAGGGUGAAGCCAGAGGAAACUCUGGUGGAGGCUCGCAGCGGUUCUGACGUGCAAAUCGAUCGUCAAAUUUGAGUAUAGGGGCGAAAGACUAAUCGAACCAUCUAGUAGCUGGUU
rnacentral:rRNA from 1 species